UUCGCAGGCUGCAUUCGUAGACCGAUUGCCUCACACCACUGCGACCAAGGCUGUCCCUUUUCAUUUAAUUUCGAAGGCUCCUUCAAAUGCGGUCCACAAAUGCGGCCUCCUUUUACAGAAUUCGGAGGAUCCAACUGGUAGAUAGACAGAUAGA